rnacentral:rRNA from 1 species
AAUCAACGCUGGCGGCGUGCCUCAGACAUGCAAGUCGAACGCGAAAGUUUCCUUCGGGAAGCGAGUAGAGUGGCGUCCGGGUGAGUAACACGUAGGUAAUCUACCUUUGGGUGGGGAAUAACAACCGGAAACGGUUGCUAAUACCGCAUAAUGCAGCGGCACCACAUGGUGACAGUUGUUAAAGCGGGGGAUCGCAAGACCUCGCGCCUAAAGAGGAGCCUGCGGCGGAUUAGCUAGUGGUAAGGUAACGGCUUACCAAGGCAGCGAUCCGUAGCCGGCC